rnacentral:misc_RNA from 1 species
UGAUCUGAUUUCUGGUUAUUUUCAGUUCGGCACUUGUGUCUCUGUAGGUCUCCAACAAUAUGCUUAUCAAAUCAUUCUCUUCUUGUCCUGAAUCAUUAAUUCUGCUAUCUUCAUACUCCUUGAAGAGCUGCUCCAUUAGCCCGUCGAACUCCCAAGUCACUGAUAUAAGCUUUUUCCCAUUUCCAGAGAGAUCAAAUUUCUUCAAAGGCCCAAAGACUUGAGUGAAGCUUAGCUUUGCUGUAUAUUCCAUCAUGGCUCCAAUCGAUUUCCUUAUCUUCAUGGGUAAAUUAGGG